UCUUGGUCAUUUAGAGGAAGUAAAAGUCGUAACAAGGUUUCCGUAGGUGAACCUGCGGAAGGAUCAUUAAAGAAAUUUAAUAAUUUUGAAAAUGGAUUUUUUUUUUGUUUUGGCAAGAGCAUGAGAGCUUUUACUGGGCAAGAAGACAAGAGAUGGAGAGUCCAGCCGGGCCUGCGCUUAAGUGCGCGGUCUUGCUAGGCUUGUAAGUUUCUUUCUUGCUAUUCCAAACGGUGAGAGAUUUCUGUGCUUUUGUUAUAGGACAAUUAAAACCGUUUCAAUACAACACACUGUGGAGUUUUCAUAUCUUUGCAACUUUUUCUUUGGGCAUUCGAGCAAUCGGGGCCCAGAGGUUAACAAACACAAACAAUUUUAUCUAUUCAUUAAAUUUUUGUCAAAAACAAGAAUUUUCGUAACUGGAAAUUUUAAAAUAUUAAAAACUUUCAACAACGGAUCUCUUGGUUCUCGCAUCGAUGAAGAACGCAGCGAAAUGCGAUACGUAAUGUGAAUUGCAGAAUUCCGUGAAUCAUCGAAUCUUUGAACGCACAUUGCGCCCCUUGGUAUUCCAGGGGGCAUGCCUGUUUGAGCGUCAUUUCCUUCUCAAACAUUCUGUUUGGUAGUGAGUGAUACUCUUUGGAGUUAACUUGAAAUUGCUGGCCUUUUCAUUGGAUGUUUUUUUUUCCAAAGAGAGGUUUCUCUGCGUGCUUGAGGUAUAAUGCAAGUACGGUCGUUUUAGGUUUUACCAACUGCGGCUAAUCCUUUUUAUACUGAGCGUAUUGGAACGUUAUCGAUAAGAAGAGAGCGUCUAGGCGAACAAUGUUCUUAAAGUUUGACCUCAAAUCAGGUAGGAGUACCCGCUGAACUUAAGCAUAUCAAUAAGCGGAG
rnacentral:rRNA from 1 species